UACGAAGGGGGCUAGCGUUGCUCGGAAUCACUGGGCGUAAAGCGCACGUAGGCGGGUCGUUAAGUCGAGGGUGAAAUCCUGGAGCUCAACUCCAGAACUGCCUUCGAUACUGGCGAUCUUCGAGUCCGGGAGAGGUGAGUGGAACUCCGAGUGUAGAGGUGAAAUUCGUAGAUAUUCGGAAGAACACCAGUGGCGAAGGCGGCUCACUGGCCCGGUACUGACGCUGAGGUGGCGAAAGCGUGGGGAGCAAACAGG
rnacentral:rRNA from 1 species